UCCUAGUAAAAAUAUUUUUUAUUGUUGGUAUUUUAAAUAUUUUUUCUACACUUAAGUCUAAUUCUUUUUCUUUUAUUUCAUCAAAUAUGUUACUGUCAAAUAUUAUUUUUUGUUCUGUUCCUUCAUCAUUUAAAUAUUCUUCAUUUGUUAUUAUUUUUAUAUCUUCUUCAGUCAUUUGAUUCAUCUAUUUCACUAUCUAUUUCAUUAUCUGUUUCGUUUUCUGAAAUUUCAUAUAUACUAUCCUCACUUUCUAAUUCAUAAUCUAUAUAGUCUAUCUGCAU
rnacentral:lncRNA from 1 species